rnacentral:ncRNA from 1 species
CAUCGUGAGGUGCAGGCGAGAAGAAGCAAUAGCGAAAUCGUGGCCCUACGGACAGGAACUGGAUAUGAAGGCGUACACGGCGGGCAAGAUGACUACAGACAUCAAAGACCCUAAAGGCAACCGUAACCCGCGUGCGUAAAUCCAGAGGGUAAACGAGGAAAGAC